AAUAAAGUGCCUGAUAAAAGGGUUAUUCUGAUAGGAUAAAUUAUGUAAUUUUUUACCUUUAUUA
rnacentral:tRNA from 1 species